AAAGAUCUCUAUCGGGAAAAGUGUAGGAAUACGGAAUGGCUACGAAUAGCGACCCUCAAAGUUUGUGCCAUUCGGCUGGAUCAAAUAAUUCGGCUGAUGAGGAAUCGGAUCAGCCGAGUUCGGAGAUAUUUACUGUAGAUUCGAUUUGGCUGAAAGAGCCGAAUGUAUGGACAGCACAGUACUUUGGGUUGGCUGAAGAGCCGAAUGCCUUUAUAUAUUGGAAUGAAUAUGUGAAACUAGUACAAGGGACGAGUGUGACUGAGGGUAUACAGA
rnacentral:lncRNA from 1 species